rnacentral:tRNA from 2 species
UUUUUUAUAGUGUAAAAACACACAUUACACUUUCAUUGUAAAGAUGAAGGAACCCCCUUCUAAAACA